UACGGAGGGCGCGAGCGUUAAUCGGAAUUACUGGGCGUAAAGCGCGCGUAGGCUGUUGUGUAAGUUGGGGGUGAAAUCCCACGGCUCAACCGUGGAACAGCCCUUGAUACUGCGCGACUUGAAUCCGGGAGAGGGCGGUGGAACUCCAUGUGUAGCGGUAAAAUGCGUAGAUAUAUGGAAGAACACCAGUGGCGAAGGCGGCCGCCUGGCCUGUUACUGACGCUGAGGCACGAAAGCGUGGGGAGCAAAUAGG
rnacentral:rRNA from 1 species